ACUUCCGUAGCUCAGCGGAAUAGAGCAUCCCACUUCUAAUGAGACGGUCGCAGGUUGGCUUCGCCCCUCUCUUUGUACCUAGGCAUAGCUCAAGCGAGCUUGGCUCUGCGCUCGGAACUUCGUCGAGUCGAUUCCUGCCGGAAGUA
rnacentral:tRNA from 1 species